GUGGAUUAGAUACCCUGGUAGUCCACGCUGUAAACGAUGAUUACUCGAUGUUGGCGAUAUACUGUCAGCGUCUAAGCGAAAGCAUUAAGUAAUCCACCUGGGGAGUACGGCCGCAAGGUUGAAACUCAAAGGAAUUGACGGGGGCCCGCACAAGCGGAGGAGCAUGUGGUUUAAUUCGAUGAUACGCGAGGAACCUUACCUGGGCUAGAACGCAAGAUAGCAGUCCGAGAAAUCGGAUCUUCCUUCGGGACAUUUUGCGAGGUGCUGCACGGUCGUCGUCAGCU
rnacentral:rRNA from 1 species